GUUAUUGUAGCUUAAAAAGCAUGGCACUGAAAAUGCCAAGACGAUAGUAUUACCCAAUCACA
rnacentral:tRNA from 1 species